rnacentral:tRNA from 1 species
GUUUAAAUAGCUUAAUUAAGAGCAUAGUAUUGAAGAUACUAAGGUAGUUGUUUACUUUUAAACA